rnacentral:lncRNA from 1 species
CGGGCGGAGGGAGGGAGGGAGGGCUUUGUCUCGGCUCCCCCCUUUGCCUCCCCUGCCUCCUCCGCCGCCGCCGCCCGCUCCCUCGCUCUCGCUCUCCCUCUCCCGUCGCCGCGGCGCGGUGCGGAAGGUAGGUUGCAGCGCGUGUGGUGUACACACACCGCCCCGAGCAGGAAAAUGGACCCCUUAGGGAGGCAGGCAGGCGGUAGCCGCGCACGCUGCGCGCUCCCGGGGAGGCAGCGGCUAUGAGGAGGCGAGCGGAGGACGGGGGAACAAGGGAUCCGUAUGCCAUUCUUUCUGGCUCGAAAGUUAGCGGUCCCAGUGCAGGAGUUUGGGAGUAGUGGUUUUGUGGCAGCACAAGAUUUCAUGGGCAGAUGGUCGGGAACAGCAGCAUAAAAAAGAAGUGUUGAGAGCUGCUCUUAACCCUUUUGGAGUCCGAAGUCAAAAGGGAACUAGGGGGCUUGAUACAUCCCUUGCAUCCUGCAUUUACUCUGACCACAGUCCCUCCCUGUUCUCACAAGUGGAGCUCUGCCCUGCUUCCCUUCCUGUUGAUUCCCAGUCAGCUACAUGCUAACAUGGCACAGACUUCAGUGAGGCUGCUGCAUCAGUGAGGACUGCAGGAUUUGGCCCAGCAGGUAUUAACUCAUAUAAAUCCUAUUGGGAGCUUUCUUUGCCUGCUGUCUGCCUUUUAGGGGGACUGCUGGGGGGCAGGAAGCAGAGCAGCUAGGACAGGCUAUCGGAGAACCUGCUGUGGCAUCAACUGCCCAUUGCUGGCUGGGAGCUGCCAGCUGACAUUUGAGAGAACAUGCUUUAUAUGAGAAAGUGAUGAGUGAAUGGAAAUUAAAACAAAAGGAUUGAAAAUAGAGCUGUAAUCAAUCUAGCCCCGGUAUCUCAGUAAACCAGGGAUGUUAUUUUCACAGGGAAUUUGGGGGUAG